GGAAAGUUGCAAAGAACUUUGAAGAGAGAGUUCAAGAGAACGUGAAAUCGCUGAAGUGGAACCGGAGAGAGUUAACUUAACUUGGUAGCUAUAUUCUCUAGGGUCGCUUAACUGUGGCUCUGGGGGGUGGACGCUACCUGUUGUUGCACUGACUGCGUUGAUCGUGCUUUCCGAACAGUGUAGUGUUGCCCACUUUGUGGUGUCUUGCUCGCUGGGAGGUUUGUCAUGGUUAACGUAUAGCCUUAGUCCCGAGGGAGUCAGUGUGAAAGUUAACCACCUUUCCGACCCGUCUUGAAACACGGACCGAGGAGUGUUGGUUAUACGCGAGUCAAGGAGUGGUGAAAACUCUAGGGGCGGAAUGAAAGUAAAGACUAGUUAACUAGUUGACAUGGGAUCCGCUCUUCGGAGCGGCGCACCAUGGCCCUGUCUUGUCUGCUUGCAGAUGGGCAGCGGUAGAGCGUAUAGCUUGCGACCCGAAAGAUGGUGAACUAUGCUUGAGCAGGACGAAGCCAGAGGAAACUCUGGUGGAAGUCCGUAUCGGUUCUGACGUGCAAAUCGAUCGAUAGACUUGAGUAUAGGGGCGAAAGACUAAUCGAACUAUCUAGUAGCUGGUU
rnacentral:rRNA from 1 species